rnacentral:rRNA from 1 species
UACGUAGGUGGCAAGCGUUAUCCGGAUUUAUUGGGCGUAAAGAGAACGCAGGCGGUCUUUUAAGUCUGAUGUGAAAGCCUUCGGCUUAACCGGAGUAGUGCAUUGGAAACUGGGAGACUUGAGUGCAGAAGAGGAGAGUGGAACUCCAUGUGUAGCGGUGAAAUGCGUAGAUAUAUGGAAGAACACCAGUGGCGAAAGCGGCUCUCUGGCCUGUAACUGACGCUGAGGUUCGAAAGCGUGGGUAGCAAACAGG